rnacentral:rRNA from 1 species
GUGAGGAAUAUUGCGCAAUGGAGGCAACUCUGACGCAGCCAUGCCGCGUGCAGGAAGAAGGCGCUACGCGUUGUAAACUGCUUUUAACCGGGAAGAAACCCCAGGACGUGUCCUGGGUUGACGGUACCGGAGGAAUAAGCACCGGCUAACUUCGUGCCAGCAGCCGCGGUAAUACGAAGGGUGCAAGCGUUAUCCGGAUUCAUUGGGUGUAAAGGGUGCGUAGGCGGAGCGUUACGUCAGUGGUGAAAUCCUGCAGCUUAACUGUAGACUUGCCAUUGAUACUGGCGCUCUUGAGUGCGCUUGAAGUGGGCGGAAUGUGCCGUGUAGCGGUGAAAUGCUUAGAUAUGGCACAGAACACCAAUUGCGAAGGCAGCUCACUAAGGCGAUACUGACGCUGAGGCACGAAAGCGUGGGGAUCGAACAGGAUUAGAUACCCGUGUAGUCC